CUCCAACAGAUACUAAAAAAAUAUGUAUCAAUAUGAAAUCUCAUCUACACACCAAGUCACUCCCCUAAGCUUCUAGCACACAAAGGGUGGGGAAGAAGGGAGAACGAGUAACGGAUAGUCAAUCCUCCCUUGCCGACAGGCUAUGACUUUUUAUUGCAAGUGGCCUGCUGGCGAGCAGAAGGAUGCAGGUGCAGGCUUAAAGUUGGGGAAGGAAUUUGUGAAUUCCUCUUAAAAUUCCUGGUCCUCUGGAGAGAAGCAGCAGUUGCCAGCAGCAGAAGCAGAAGCAGGAGCCCAGCCUGACAGAAGCAGGAGCCCAGCCUGACGCAAAACUGCCAGCAAGUAGCAGCGCCCCGAACACGAGGCAGGCGCCCCGGCGCGCGCGGUCGCAGCUGCCUCUCCACCCCAGAAGCCCCGGGCUGGCCCAGGAGAGGGAGCACAAAGGCAGGCGGCUGCAGCGGCGGCACAGAGCGGACCAUUCCAUCUCUGGUGCCACAGAUGCGCGGUUCGUUCCCAGCGCCCCACCUGCGAGCGCGCCUGGUUGGUCUGAGAGAGGACUGGUGGAGGAAGAGACGGCAGCAUCAGCAUCAGCAGCAGUAGCAUCAGCAUCCUUAGUCCUGCUCUUCGCGCGCCCCUCCCCCGCCCUCUUCGCCUCCCACCCGCUGUCUCCGAGAGGCAGCAGGGCUACGAGGGAACCCAUCGAGGGUAAUAUGUCCCCGCGGCGACUCCUCCCGAGCGUGUCCUUGGCCCUGGGUUCGGCGUCUCAGCUCCUCCUUGUUUCUUCUGCUCCCGCCGCUGCCACUUCUCUCUUUAGCUCUCUCCAUCUCCAUCCCUGCCGCUGCCACUGUUCCUGAUGGAUGCCGGGGAGUGCUGCAUUGCUUAAGCGCUUUUCCCUCACCUCCCCUUUCGCUGGUAGGGUAGGGGCCCCAGUUGCUGCUCUUUCGCCUCUCUUAAUUUUGGAGUGUUUAUUGACUAGCUGGAGACAUUUUCAUUUUCUUUCUCCCUUCAUUCCUUUUCUUCUUUCCCCUCCACCCUGAGACGAUGUAGAUUCACUGGGGAAAGAUCCCACCUAGGCGGGAGUGGGGCUAGGAGCCUUAGAUAAAAGGCUGUAAGAAGAGGAGGGAGGAGAGGAGGCGGUGGAGGGGGAGCCCACGCUGCUGCUGCUGCCACCGCCACCUCCACCAAAAAUUUUGCUGGUACCAUAUGAGAUCACUGUAUACCAAAGGGAAAGAGGACGACAGCCAGCGUUACCCGAAUCCCUCUACUUGGAUCAAAGGGAUUUUAAAAACAAACCUAUAGCUCGCCUUUUUUUUUUCUAAUUUGUAAAUUAAGUAAUGACAAAAAGAUGCAUCUUUGAAUCAGCAAAAAGAUAAGUAAGCUCCCUCCUCCUCCUCUUUUCUUUUCUUUUCUUUCUUUUUUUUUCCUCCAAAGAUUCUCUCUCCCCGCCCCGGAACUCUGCUGAAGAGCCACUUUAUUAUUAAUCAGAAUUCCCAUCUUUAUCCUGGGCUCUUCCUUCAGUGGGGACUGCAGCACCAUCAGGGUAUUGGGUCUGAGAUGUGCAUGAGGGUUGUUUUUAUUAUAUCUUAGAAGAGAGAGGGAGACAGUAGCAAGACCCCAGGAGCUCUUUAGGGGUAGUGGAAGAGAGCAGAAGAGUGCUGGGAACCACAGGGGGACACUUCCCCCAAAGAGAAGGAAGCAGGAGUGGGACGUUUUUCUUUGGAGAGGGGGAGUGGAGUGUGGUGGGAGAUAGGUAGGAGCAACAGGGUACCACAUCUGAUACGAAACAAAUUAUUUCCUGUAAAGGAAAGGGAGGCAGCCCUAGUAGUAGCAGCCAGGAUCCAAAGGGUUGGGGUG
ensembl:lncRNA